UACGUAGGGACCAAGCGUUGCUCGGAAUCACUGGGCGUAAAGCGACCGCAGGCGGUCUGACAAGUCGGAUGUGAAAGCCCUGGGCUCAACUCAGGAACUGCAUUCGAAACUGGCAGACUCGAGUACGGGAGAGGGGGGUGGAAUUCCUGGUGUAGGGGUGAAAUUCGUUGAUAUCAGGAGGAACACCGGCGGCGAAGGCGGCCCCCUGGCCCGCAACUGACGCUCAUGGUCGAAAGCGUGGGGAGCAAACAGG
rnacentral:rRNA from 1 species